rnacentral:rRNA from 1 species
UGGCGGCGUGCCUAACACAUGCAAGUCGAACGGAGUGCAGACGCUGAAGAUCAAAGUAGCUUGCUAUAGAGAGAUUCUUGUUGUACUUAGUGGCGGACGGGUGAGUAACGCGUGGAAAACCUGCCUCAUACAGGGGGAUAACAGGAAGAAAUUCCUGCUAAUACCGCAUGAGCGCACACUGUCGCAUGGCAGAGUGUGAAAAGAUUUAUCGGUAUGAGAUGGUUCCGCGUCUGAUUAGCCAGUUGGCGGGGUAACGGCCCACCAAAGCGACGAUCAGUAGCCGGCCUGAGAGGGCGGACGGCCACAUUGGGACUGAGACACGGCCCAGACUCCUACGGGAGGCAGCAGUGGGGGAUAUUGCACAAUGGAGGCAACUCUGAAUGCAGCGACGCCGCGUGGGUGAAGAAGUUAUUCGUAAUGUAAAGCCCUAUCAGCAGGGAAGAUAAUGACGGUACCUGACUAAGAAGCCCCGGCUAACUACGUGCCAGCCGCGGC